rnacentral:rRNA from 1 species
UACGAAGGGUGCAAGCGUUAAUCGGAAUUACUGGGCGUAAAGGGUGCGUAGGCGGUUGUUUAAGUCUGUCGUGAAAUCCCCGGGCUCAACCCGGGAAUGGCGAUGGAUACUGGGCAGCUAGAGUGUGUCAGAGGAUGGUGGAAUUCCCGGUGUAGCGGUGAAAUGCGUAGAGAUCGGGAGGAACAUCAGUGGCGAAGGCGGCCAUCUGGGACAACACUGACGCUGAAGCACGAAAGCGUGGGGAGCAAACAGG